CACUAAACAAGGAUGGGGAUUCUCCAGCUCCAGUAUUUACUCCAUCUCUACUGUGGAAAAGAGCUGGACUGAAAGCAGACAGAACAGCAGAGAGAGAGGAGCAGACCUGGUGAUCAUAAACAGCAGAGAGGAACAGGACUUCAUCAUUAAACAGCUGGGUGACAGUAAAUAGGCUUGGAUUGGUCUGCGUAAAGACGACACAAAGACAAAGUGGAAAUGGUUGGACGGUACAGAGCAGAACAACAGCACUGGAUUUGAAAAUGGGAACUAGAGAACACCUACUUUGCUUUACUCUGAGUCUGGUGUUGGUCAGUGUGUACUGCAUAAAGGACCUUGAAAGCUUGAAGGAUCUAAUCGACAAAAUAAAACAAACUGGUGAAGGUUUUCCGAGAAUAGAAGGCAUCAUGCUUCUGUGCACAAUCUACAGAAACAGUAAAAUCGAUCAAAAUGAGAAACUACACCUCAAUAAAAA